CUCAUCAGCAAAUCGAGUCGAGGUCGCGCUAGGCUGCUGCUCUUCGUAAUCUCCUUCUCGGGCGAACUCGGCUGAGAAAUCGAGUGCUGGUAAUGGACCGGCAAUGUCUCCAAUGCCAAUGGGUUCGCCAGAGGGUUCAAUACUUCCGACAGAACAGCGAAUUCUUAAACUGGUUCAUCGUUGUCAGGUGUGAGAGAAGAGAUGGUAAAGCUGCUUGUUCAGCAUAUGACUGAGUGUUCAUAGUCAGGUUAUAAUAACAUAAAUCCUAGAGACUUCACUGUGCAAGUUAAGAAUUUUCCACCACAAAAUCUCCCACGUAAUAUUUUGUCCAAUACUGCAGAGAGAGAAAAUAUCCCUGUACAUCGAUACUUUGAUGCGUUGGAGGGACCAGAAUUGGACACUCUACGGGUGGAGUAGAUCAAGAAAUAGAAGAUGAAGGCAAUGAAGAUGUGGACCUUACUUAAAAUGAAUUUUGAAUUGCUAUAGAUGAAUGUUCUAGGAAUCUUUUGUUGUCAACAUUUUGAAACUUACUAUCUUGAAAUGUAUUAAACUUAUGCACUUGGGGUAGAACAUUUACUUUUAUGGAUAUUAUUAGCCUGUUGGACAAGUUAUAAUAUUAAUAAUUU